UACGAAGGGGGCUAGCGUUGCUCGGAAUCACUGGGCGUAAAGGGUGCGUAGGCGGGUCUUUAAGUCAGGGGUGAAAUCCUGGAGCUCAACUCCAGAACUGCCUUUGAUACUGAAGAUCUUGAGUUCGGGAGAGGUGAGUGGAACUGCGAGUGUAGAGGUGAAAUUCGUAGAUAUUCGCAAGAACACCAGUGGCGAAGGCGGCUCACUGGCCCGAUACUGACGCUGAGGCGCGAAAGCUGGGGGAGCAAACAGG
rnacentral:rRNA from 1 species